UGUAGAUGGAGGAACACAGAUGCACAGCCCAGGUCUCCAGCUAAAAGAGACAGUGAAAGGGAGUCCGUACUGGUGUUCAUAAGGAAAGAUACUUUAUAAGGACUGGACAGCACACCCAUCUUCAAGCCAGGGAAGCCCUACUGCAUUCGAGAAAGGCUGCCAUGCAGAAAUUCAGCUGCAACAAUACAGACACAGGAAAGAUCCUCAGAGAUUUCAUCUGAACAUGCAAUGCUAAACAGCUGACCAAAGGCAUCAUUUUUCUCCCCUUUCUCAUCCCUCAAGAUUGCUGAACCAAUGGCAUCAGCCAGGGAAGGAAGAAGCCCCAAGCACAGAAAUAGCAGGUGCCCCCUCUUUUUUUUGUGCCCAGGAGCACCACACAAAGCAGCCAUUGCCACACAGGAGCCACUCCAGCACCCAGGGAAGAGACAUCUCUGCCACUGUACUGCCAACAACCAAAUAAAGCCAGACAGCUCCCAAGAAAAACCACCACCAAACCCAACAACCAGCACACCACAAAGCCAACUCCACCUACCACACCGAAACCACCCAAGCCACUUUCUACCACCAGCCUCC
rnacentral:lncRNA from 7 species